GAUGAACGCUGGCGGCGUGCCUAAUACAUGCAAGUCGAGCGAACAGACGAGGAGCUUGCUCCUCUGACGUUAGCGGCGGACGGGUGAGUAACACGUGGAUAACCUACCUAUAAGACUGGGAUAACUUCGGGAAACCGGAGCUAAUACCGGAUAAUAUAUUGAACCGCAUGGUUCAAUAGUGAAAGACGGUUUUGCUGUCACUUAUAGAUGGAUCCGCGCCGCAUUAGCUAGUUGGUAAGGUAACGGCUUACCAAGGCAACGAUGCGUAGCCGACCUGAGAGGGGGAUCGGCCACACUGAAACGAAGAAACGGCCCAACCUCCCAGGGGAGGCACCAAGAGGGAAUCUUCCGAAAGGGGCGAAAGCUUGAGGGGAAAACGCGGGGGGGGGAUUAAGGGGCUUCGGGUGGUAAAUCUUUGUUAUUGGGGAAGAAAAAAUUUGUAAUUAACUAUGACCGUUUGAAGGGAACCAAAGAAAAAGGCCCCGGCUAACUAGGG
rnacentral:rRNA from 1 species